rnacentral:rRNA from 1 species
UACGUAGGGUGCGAGCGUUAAUCGGAAUUACUGGGCGUAAAGCGUGCGCAGGCGGUUUUGUAAGCCAGAUGUGAAAUCCCCGGGCUUAACCUGGGAAUGGCAUUUGGGACUGCAAGGCUUGAGUGCGGCAGAGGAGACUGGAAUUCCUGGUGUAGCAGUGAAAUGCGUAGAUAUCAGGAGGAACACCGAUGGCGAAGGCAGGUCUCUGGGCUGACACUGACGCUCAUGCACGAAAGCGUGGGGAGCAAACACGG